GGAUUGUUGCUCAGUGGUAGAGCGCUCGCCUAGCAUGUGUGAGGCCCUGGGUUCGAUCCUCAGCACCA
rnacentral:tRNA from 1 species